GCAUGCCCCACCAGCUGCCAGCAUAGCCACGUGGGUGUCUGCAACAACAGCCCCACCCCACCCCACCUCAGGCCUCUUGGCUAUGCAGCUACUUGGUUCAAUACUACAGAGGCACAGGGGGACAUGAAGGCCAUUGUCUUGAGAUGCAGAAGUGAACAAAAGAGAGAAGGUGUCUCUCAGACUCCCUGAUGAAAACUGAAGCCCACUGGAAAAGUGAAGAGAAUCUCUAGAAUAAAGGCAAACCAGACCACCGUGCUUGACCAAGAAGAUAAACAAUGAACAGUUAAUUGCUUAUCCAGUUUUACAACCAGCAAGAGAGAUAGGCCUUGCACCUAUGAUUUUAAGCAUGUGUAAAAGUUAGAGUUCAUUAGAAUAAUGGAUGUUAUAUGUAUACUUUAAAAGUAGGCUUGCCAUGGCUGCCAGCAGAGACCGGUGUGAUAGAAUACAAAGAAGGUGUUUGAGCAGUGGAAAGGAUGAUGAUCCAGUCAAAGGUGGAAAUCUGGAGCUCACUGCAAAGUCGCACUGGAGUCUGUAUUGGGAAGCCAGAGGGUCUACACAGGAAGGCUGAAGAUUUCCAGCAGGAAGGUGUAAGAAUGUUCUCUGGAGGCUGGAGAUGUCCAUCCAAGGAUGACAGUGAACACUAGAACUCCUCCAAAGAACUGGAAGCAAGAUUUCCUUCAUUUUCUUUUUAUUCCAUCUAGGCAACGAGUCUAUUGGAUGGUGCCAGCACAACUAGGGUGGGCCUUCCCUCUUCAGUAAAUUUAUCGUCCAAACCAAUCAGUUGGGUGUUUCAAGUGGACAUCACAGUUAACUAUCACCAUAUGGCACUUCUUCAGUCUUAUUUUGUUUCAAGUUUGUGAUGACUUUCUUACUUAAAUAGUUCUUAAUAAAAUUACCCUGAAUUUUUCUGAUCACGUUCAGUUCUCUGACACAAAAGCUCAUUAGGAUAUUUUGAUAUCCAGUCUUCCUCCUCCAGCAGGCCAGUCAGUAUGAUUUUACCAGAAC
ensembl:lncRNA